AAACACAGAGGCUUUAUAAACGGAUUGGUUAAAAAUCGGAAUAUUGUCGUUCGCAUCUAAGACAGUGAUUUCUAUAUUUACUGUACCAGAUCUCUGUGGUGUUCCUCCGUCGACUGCGAUCAGUUUUAAGGACAAGUGUGGAUGUCGCUCUCGGUCUAAAGGCUUCUGGAGCACCAUUUCUACAUAUUUAUUUCCGUCUGGAUUCGAAUGUUGCUUCAAUAUAAAAUUGUCGUUGGUUGAUAAAAUGUAAUCUUGUAAAGCGUUUUGUCCAACAUCCAGAUCCAUUGCAUUCUGUAGAGGUAACUUCAAUCCGACUGCAGCUGAUUCACUUAUUUCUGAACGGAUAGGUUUAUCAUUAUCAGGGAAAACAGGAGCAUGAUCAUUUAUGUCCAAAACCUCGACAGUGAUUCUGUGUAAUUCCAUUGGAUUCUCUAAAAUCAUCUCAAAGCUGAAGCUACACGGAGUCGUGUCUCCACAGAGCUGCUCUCGGUCAAUUCUCUCAUUCACGACCAGAGUCCCUUUGUCUGUCUUCAGCUCGGUGUACUGGAUGUUUUCCCCACUCACGAUACGGGCCCGCCCUGCACGGAGCCUUCUCAGAUCCAACCCGAGAUCUUGAGCCACAUUACCGAUAACAGAGCCUUUCUUCAUCUCCUCUGGUAUAGAAUAACGAAUCUGACCAUCAACCACGUUAGCAACACACAGCAGGAAAAGCAGCAUUUGUAAUUUCCGUAGCAGUCCUUGAAACACUCGCCAUCUUGCGCAUUUGUACACGAGAGAUCCUCCAAUUGCCAUCAUAGCAACAAAGAAAAAAAAAUCUGUGUCUGUGUAUCCAGUAGAAAUGAUGGUGAAACUGGUUCCUGUAAUAUUUUGCUCUGGCAGCCAAAGAACACGUUUUCAACCUUCAUAUGAGAAUCUAUGAGACGGCAUCACCUCAACCUCGAUAAAACACAGAGUCCUCUGUAUUAUGUAGUCAGACGGGGGUGGGGUGGACUGGAUGACGACGAAGCACAGAAAAUGUUUUGCUGACCAACAGCGUCCCUUAGAGUCUAAAAGGGGAACAAUCAAUAAAACAGUGCCGGCGCUGAACAUUAGUGAUGGACUAGACACGUUCCUAUGCUCAACAUUGAGGUCGAUACACAAAUUAGAAUCAGAUAAUAAGGGGAAGUUUUCAAAAAUACACAGCUAACAAAUAAUUAGGCUUCAUAGUCGAUGGCGGUAAGAUAACUGUAAAAAGGCAUAAACGAUAUGAAAAUCAGGAUACUGGGUGUUUUUAUCUUGUAAAAUGAAACAUACAUGACACUGACGAAGAGCUUUAAAAUUGUAGACCCUGUAAUAUAUAUUUGUUAUCAUUCAACCCUGAAGAUUGACGAUUUGAACAAGGGGUGCAUAGACAACAUACAUACUAUGAAAGGAUACAUACUAUAUAGUAAUACUCAAUAUGAAGGCAUCUUUCUACAGGAUACAAAAAACCGUCCAGUAUGACAUCGACGCCAACAUAAACAUCGCCUAGAUUAAGACUACUGCAAACUUCCCUUAGAAAAACACAGAGUGGCCGAAGUGCUGUCCAUGGUACUAUAUCUGACGUUCAAUAACAACGCACAUUUCAAGCUGAAAACAUGGGACACGGAAAAAGGUCAGUUAUUCAGGUGACCUCUGGAGAAUCUGGUUCAUCCACGAUAUCACUAAUGCCAGAACCAUCUUCACUAUUUUAUACUGAGCUAAAUGUGUUGAGUAAUGGCCCUUUGAUUCCUAUUCUAUACAGCAAGUAACAGUUGUAUGUCAGUGAUAUUAACACUCGUUUGUGUUCAUCACAUUUAUGCGAAGUUAUUUUGGAGCAAUAGGAGUAGAUUUAAAUUAGGGUUAGAAAAGUUGCAUGCGUGCAGAAGCAUCUAUGCACAACGUAAAGGCAAUAUUUGGAGUGGUGUAACUCGACUUCAAAGCCAUCUAUAAUUAAAAUGAAUCUUGCAAAAUAUCUGCAGGCUUUAUAGGUAAAAAAUUCCUGGGAAGAUCCCUGAACCGAAAAGGGUGCUGUCCACGGUGCUGAAUGUGGAGAUAUAGAUGUCGAAUGCGUAGCUCGAAUUUUUAUAAAAUACAACAAAAACAAUGCCAAAUAUCAGGUGUUACAAUACCUCCAGUGGAGAGUCUGGUUCGUCCAGGAUGCUCUUCUCACUCUGUAUCCUCUGCAUGGUCCCUGUAGAACUGGGGUCCAUUAUCAGCACGUUCUGACUACCAGCUCUGCCGAACUUACAGUCACUCUUUCUCGAGUCAGUCGUCCUGCACACCUCGUAAUUGUACACGUGUGGAAGAGUCCCUGUGCCCAGAGUGUCUGAGUAACGUGGAGGAUAAUAGGGAAUCACGGGAAGACUGGAGUGAUACAGGAUACGAGACUGUCUCCAUCUGUAGAUCUUCACUGAUAUAAUGACCACCAAACACGUGAUGAAGAGGAAGGACACUACAGCCAAAGCCAGCACUAAGUAAAAAGUCAGGUUGUCAUUGUACUCCUUGUCGUGUGUAAAGUCAGUGAACUCUGACAGCACUUCAGGGAAGCUGUCCGCCACCGCCACGUUCACAAUGACUGUAGCUGAACGAGACGGCUGCCCGUUGUCCUCCACUAUCACAGUCAGUCUUUGUUUCACAGCAUCUUUAUCACUCACUUGGCGGAUAGUUCGGAUUUCUCCAUUCUGUAAGCCCACUUCAAACAGCGCCCUGUCUGUGGCUUUCUGCAGUUUAUACGACAGCCAGGCAUUCUGUCCAGAGUCCACAUCCACAGCUACCACUUUAGUCACUAGAUAGCCCACAUCUGCUGCACAAGGAACCAUCUCAGCCACCAGAGAACCACCAGUCUGGACCGGGUACAGGACCUGAGGAGGGUUGUCAUUCUGGUCCUGGAUCACUAUUUUCACUGUCACGUUGCUGCUGAGUGGAGGGGAGCCUCCAUCCUGAGCUUUGACUACCAGCUGAAGAUAUUUGAUUUGCUCAUAAUCAAGAGAACGAACUGCGCUGAGAACUCCAGUUUCAGAGUUUAGACUCACAUAAGUCGAGACUGGACUACCACUGACCUGUGUAUCCUCUAAAAUAUACGAGAUUCUUGCAUUUUGGCCCCAAUCUGAGUCUCUCGCGCUGACAGUAAAUAUGGAUACUCCAGGUGGAUUAUUUUCUGUGAUGUAAGCAGAGUAAAUUGUUUUGUCAAAUAAUGGCGCGUUGUCAUUUACGUCAGAAAUCUUUAGGUGCAAUUUUGUGGAGGUGGAAAGAGGCGGAGAACCGAAAUCAGUGGCUGUUAUUGUGAUGUUAUAUUCUGAGACAGAUUCUCUAUCAAAAUGUUGAUCUGAGAUCAAAUUAUAAUAGUUUGUCAGAGAUGAUUCAAUCUUGAAAGGCAGUUUUCCCUCGAUCGAACAUUUUAUUUGUCCAUUUUUAUCAGAAUCCGCAUCUUUAAUGUUUAAAACAGCAAUUGUGGUACCGACAAGGGCAUCUUCAGAUACAGUGCUAGAAAAAGACAUAAUGUUUAUCACUGGAGCAUUGUCAUUAACAUCAAAAACAUCAAAUAUAACUUUACUUGUUCCUGUUAAUCCACCUUGAUCCCUAGCCUCCACCCUCACCUCAUAUUUUCUGUCUUUUUCAUAAUCUAGGGGACCAUUUACAGAUAUAGUGCCUGUUUUUUCAUCAAUGCUAAACAAAUCUUCCGCACUACCUUUAGUAUUAGAUAAACUGUAACUGAUGACUCCAUUAGAACCACUAUCAGCGUCUGUGGCGUUUACUGUUAUAACUCUCGUGCCCUUCAGUGUGUUCUCAAACACAGAGGCUUUAUACACGGAUUGGUUAAAAACUGGAGCGUUGUCGUUCGCAUCUAAGACAGUGAUUUCUAUAUUUACUGUACCAGAUCUCUGUGGUGUUCCUCCGUCGACUGCGAUCAGUUUCAGAGACAAGUGUGGAUGUCGCUCUCGGUCUAAAGGCUUCUGGAGCACCAUUUCUACAUAUUUACUUCCGUCGGGAUUUGCAUGCUGCUUUAAUAUAAAAUUGUCGUUGGCUGAUAAAAUAUAAUCUUGCAAGGCGUUUUGUCCAACAUCUAAAUCUUCCGCACUCUGCAGGGGAAACUGUACUCCUACCACCGCUGAUUCACUUAUCUCGAGGCGGAUAGGCUUGUCAAUUUUUGGGAAAACGGGAGCGUGAUCGUUUAUGUCUAAAACCUCGAUAGUUAUUCGAUGCAGUUCAAUGGGAUUCUCUAAAAUCAUCUCAAAGCUGAAGCUACACGGAGUCGUGUCUCCACAGAGCUGCUCUCGGUCAAUUCUCUCAUUCACGACCAGAGUCCCUUUGUCUGUCUUCAGCUCGGUGUACUGGAUGUUUUCUCCACUCACGAUACGGGCCCGCCCUGCACGGAGCCUUCUCAGAUCCAAACCAAGAUCUUGAGCCACAUUACCGAUAACAGAGCCUUUCUUCAUCUCCUCUGGUAUAGAAUAACGAAUCUGACCAUCAACCACGUUAGCAACACACAGCAGGAAAAGCAGCAUUUGUAUUUUCCGUAGCAGUCCUUGAAAUACUCGCCAUCUUGCGCAUUUGUCGAAGAGAGAUCCUUCAACUGCCAUCAUAGCAACAAAGAAAAAAAGAGGCAAGUGUGUGUAUCCAGUGGAAAUGAUGGUGAAACUGGUUCCUUUAAAUCCUUGUCCUGGCAAAAUGUGAUCUCGUCUUCGAAUAUCACAUGAUAAUCUUUGAGACUGUGCUCUCCCCUACAACGUUUAAACCGCAUAAAACACAGAGAGCCUUUGGUAUCAGAGGGAGGAUGGACUGGAUGACGACACGACUUAAAUGUUUUGCUGACCAACAGCGUCCCUUAGAGUCUAGAAUGAGAAAUUCACGUGCAGCCAAGAGCGCGGUACUGUCAUUUAGACUGAAUAAAGAUUCCGUCGAUAUCCGGUGAUCAAUACUGAUAACCAAUAAUUGACCUUAAGGGUUUUAAAGACCAAAGUCCAAAUUAACAGUGAAUCAGCACGAUAAAUGCCAACAUUUUAAAACAAAUAAUCCAACUGAAUGGACAAUGCGAGAAAUCUGAACACCAAAAACACAUCUUCCAAGUUGCCAUGAUGCAAGUACAGUGCUGUAGUUAUACGACAACACAUUAAAAUGCUUUUAAGUGUAGUAUUUUUAUAUUUAAUAGGUGACUGCCAUUGCGGUUAGAAAACUAUGUUGUGUCUCACUUAUGAUGAAAAUAAAGAAUAAGAUGUGAAAGGCGAUAUGAAUAAAUAAUUUCUAACAAGAUUGAGAAGUGUUAUAAUCACUAUCAUCAAAAGCUCUAUUACUUUCACUUGCAUGUGAACUAUUACUCUUCUUAUCCUUUCCUCUUACCUUUAUUUUUGCAUGCUAUUCGUUAUCUGCUGCACUCUACCCUGUUUAUACAUGACAUUAUUUCCAAGGUAGUUUUCAUGGUUUAAAACUAAGUCCUUUUUUACUGAAGGAACCCUAUUUUGAUUCAUAUUAUAUCUGGCCUCUCAUUUGUUGCUAACACAAAUUAUUCAUGUCAGACUUAGCUUAUGAAGCUCAUAACAAUCAUAUAACAUUUACACUGACGUACUUUGGUAAUAAUCAUAAGUUAGCAAUGUACGUGUGAAGAUAAGGAAGCAGAGUUAAAUACGGAUUGAAGAACUUAUAUAUGAUCUUAACUCUCAGCUGCAACACCAGAAAAAUUCUUCCCUAACGUUUCAGAUUCCAGGGUCUCCAACCUAAUCAAAAAGCAUGAGCUGAUCAAACUUAAAAACGUAAAUACAAAAAAAAAGAUAGGAGAAAAUGUAUUUAAAAGGUUAUGACCUGACAAUAAACCAUGACGUCGAAAUAUUACCUCUUGAAUAUAGCAGCUUUCAGGGGCUGAAAAAAAAAUGACCGUGACCAACGGUCAGAGAGGGCGCUGUCCAUGGUGUUGGAUGUAAAGUUUAAGAUGUCAAUUGCAAUCAACCAAUCUAUAUGGAUGAAUAAAAAAAAGCGAAAUGUCAGGUUUUAAAUACCUCUAGUGGAGAGUCUGGUUCAUCCAGGAUGCUCUUCUCACUCUGUAUCCUCUGCAUGGUCCCUGUAGAACUGGGGUCCAUUAUCAGCACGUUCUGACUACCAGCUCUGCCGAACUUACAGUCACUCUUUCUCGAGUCAGUCGUCCUGCACACCUCGUAAUUGUACACGUGUGGAAGAGUCCCCGUGCCCAGAGUGUCUGAGUAACGUGGAGGAUAAUAGGGAAUCACUGGAAGACUGGAGUGAUACAGGAUACGAGACUGUCUCCAUCUGUAGAUUUUCACUGAUAUAAUGACCACCAAACACGUGAUGAAGAGGAAGGACACUACAGCCAAAGCCAGCACUAAGUAAAAAGUCAGGUUGUCAUUGUACUCCUUGUCGUGUGUAAAGUCAGUGAACUCUGACAGCACUUCAGGGAAGCUGUCCGCCACCGCCACGUUCACAAUGACUGUAGCUGAACGAGACGGCUGCCCGUUGUCCUCCACUAUCACAGUCAGUCUUUGUUUCACAGCAUCUUUAUCACUCACUUGGCGGAUAGUUCGGAUUUCUCCAUUCUGUAAGCCCACUUCAAACAGCGCCCUGUCUGUGGCUUUCUGCAGUUUAUACGACAGCCAGGCAUUCUGUCCAGAGUCCACGUCCACAGCCACCACUUUAGUCACCAGAUAGCCCACAUCUGCUGCACGAGGAACCAUCUCAGCAACCAGAGAGCCACCGGUCUGGACCGGGUACAGGACCUGAGGAGGGUUGUCGUUCUGGUCCUGGAUCAUUAUUUUCACUGUCACGUUGCUGCUGAGUGGAGGGGAGCCUCCAUCUUGAGCUUUGACUACCAGCUGAAGAUAUUUGAUUUGCUCAUAAUCAAGAGAACGAACUGCGCUGAGAACUCCAGUUUCAGAGUUUAAACUCACAUAAGUCGAGACUGGACUUCCACUGACCUGUGUAUCCUCUAAAAUAUACGAGAUUCUUGCAUUUUGGCCCCAAUCUGAGUCUCUCGCGCUGACAGUAAAUAUGGAUACUCCAGGUGGAUUAUUUUCUGUGAUGUAAGCAGAGUAAAUUGUUUUAUCAAAUAAUGGCGCGUUGUCAUUUACGUCAGAAAUCUUUAGGUGCAAUUUUGUGGAGGUGGAAAGAGGCGGAGAACCGAAAUCAGUGGCUGUUAUUGUGAUGUUAUAUUCUGAGACAGAUUCUCUAUCAAAAUGUUGAUCCGAGAUCAAAUUGUAAUAGUUUGUCAGAGAUGAGACGAUUUUGAAAGGCAGUUUUCCAUCGAUUGAACAUUUUAUUUGUCCAUUUUUAUCAGAAUCCGCAUCUUUUAUAUUUAAAAUAGCUAUUGUUGUACCAGGAGGAGCAUCUUCAGAUACAGGACUAGAAAAAGACAUAAUGUUGAUCACUGGAGCAUUGUCGUUAACAUCAAAAACAUCAAAUAUAACUUUACUUGUUCCUGUUAAUCCACCUUGAUCCCUAGCCUCCACCCUCACCUCAUAUUUUCUGUCUUUUUCAUAAUCUAGAGGACCAUUUACAGAUAUAGCGCCUGUUUUUUCAUCAAUGCUAAACAAAUCUUCCGCACUGCCUCUUGUAUUAGACAAACUAUAACUAAUGACUCCAUUUGAACCACUGUCAGCGUCUGUGGCGUUUACUGUUAUAAUUCUUGCACCCUUCAUUGUGUUUUCAAACACAGAGGCUUUAUACAUUGAUUGGUUAAAAAUCGGAACAUUGUCAUUUACAUCUAAGACAGUGAUUUCUAUAUUUACUGUACCAGAUCUUUGUGGUGUUCCUCCGUCGACUGCGAUCAGUUUUAACGACAAGUGUGGAUGUCGCUCUCGGUCUAAAGGCUUCUGGAGCACCAUUUCUACAUAUUUAUUUCCGUCUGGAUUCGCAUGUUGCUUCAAUAUAAAAUUGUCGUUGGUUGACAAAAUGUAAUCUUGUAGAGCGUUUUGCCCAACAUCUAAGUCUUCUGCGCUCGGCAGUGGAAACUGUACUCCUACCAGCGCUGAUUCACUAAUCUCGAGGCGGAUAGGCUUAUCAAUUUUGGGGAAAACAGGAGCGUGAUCAUUUAUGUCCAGAACCUCGACAGUUAUUCUGUGUAGUUCCAUUGGAUUCUCUAAAAUCAUCUCAAAGCUGAAGCUACACGGAGUCGUGUCUCCACAGAGCUGCUCUCGGUCAAUUCUCUCAUUCACGACCAGAGUCCCUUUGUCUGUCUUCAGCUCGGUGUACUGGAUGUUUUCUCCACUCACGAUACGGGCCCGCCCUGAACGGAGCCUUCUCAGAUCCAAACCAAGAUCUUGAGCCACAUUACCGAUAACAGAGCCUUUCUUCAUCUCCUCUGGUAUAGAAUAACGAAUCUGACCAUCAACCACGUUAGCAACACACAGCAGGAAAAACAGCAUUUGUAAUUUCCGUAGCAGUCCUUGAAAUACUCGCCAUCUUGCGCAUUUGUCGAAGAGAAAUCCUUCAACUGCCAUCAUAGCAACAAAGAAAAAAAAAACAAGUGUGUGUAUCCAGUGGAAAUGAUGGUGAAACUGGUUCCUUUAAAUCCUUGUCCUGGCAAAAUACGAUCUUCGAAUAUCACAUGAAAAUCUGUGAGACUGUGCUCUCCCCUACAACGUUUAAACCGCAUAAAACACAGACAGCCUUUGGUAUCAGAGGGAGG